UACGGGGGGGGCAAGCGUUGUUCGGAAUUACUGGGCGUAAAGGGCUCGUAGGCGGCCAACUAAGUCAGACGUGAAAUCCCUCGGCUUAACCGGGGAACUGCGUCUGAUACUGGAUGGCUUGAGUUCGGGAGAGGGAUGCGGAAUUCCAGGUGUAGCGGUGAAAUGCGUUGAUAUCGGAAGGAACUCCGGCGGCGAAAGCGAUGCACUGGCUGAUUUCUGACGCUGAGGUGCGAAAGCCAGGGGAGCAAACGGG
rnacentral:rRNA from 1 species